rnacentral:rRNA from 1 species
UGCCAGCAGCCGCGGUAAUACAUAGGGGGCAAGCGUUAUCCGGAAUUACUGGGCGUAAAGAGCAUGUAGGCGGAUGAAUUAGUCAGAGGUGAAAGCCCCGAGCUCAACUUGGGAACUGCCUUUGAUACUGUUUAUCUAGAGUCCGAGAGAGGUUAGUGGAAUUCCCAGUGUAGAGGUGAAAUUCGUAGAUAUUGGGAAGAACACCAGUGGCGAAGGCGGCUAACUGGGCCAAUACUGACGCUGAGGUGCGAAAGCGUGGGGAGCAAACCGGAUUAGAUA